GGAGAGUUGGCAGAGCGGUCGAUCGCGGCGGUCUUGAAAACCGUUUUAGUGUAAGCUAACUGGGGUUCGAAUCCCUAACUCUCCGCCA
rnacentral:tRNA from 1 species